CGGGACACGUGGUAUCCUGUCUGAAUAUGGGGGGACCAUCCUCCAAGGCUAAAUACUCCUGACUGACCGAUAGUGAACCAGUACCGUGAGGGAAAGGCGAAAAGAACCCCGGCGAGGGGAGUGAAAAAGAACCUGAAACCGUGUACGUACAAGCAGUGGGAGCACGCUUAGGCGUGUGACUGCGUACCUUUUGUAUAAUGGGUCAGCGACUUAUAUUCUGUAGCAAGGUUAACCGAAUAGGGGAGCCGAAGGGAAACCGAGUCUUAACUGGGCGUUAAGUUGCAGGGUAUAGACCCGAAACCCGGUGAUCUAGCCAUGGGCAGGUUGAAGGUUGGGUAACACUAACUGGAGGACCGAACCGACUAAUGUUGAAAAAUUAGCGGAUGACUUGUGGCUGGGGGUGAAAGGCCAAUCAAACCGGGAGAUAGCUGGUUCUCCCCGAAAGCUAUUUAGGUAGCGCCUCGUGAAUUCAUCUCCGGGGGUAGAGCACUGUUUCGGCAAGGGGGUCAUCCCGACUUACCAACCCGAUGCAAACUGCGAAUACCGGAGAAUGUUAUCACGGGAGACACACGGCGGGUGCUAACGUCCGUCGUGAAGAGGGAAACAACCCAGACCGCCAGCUAAGGUCCCAAAGUCAUGGUUAAGUGGGAAACGAUGUGGGAAGGCCCAGACAGCCAGGAUGUUGGCUUAGAAGCAGCCAUCAUUUAAAGAAAGCGUAAUAGCUCACUGGUCGAGUCGGCCUGCGCGGAAGAUGUAACGGGGCUAAACCAUGCACCGAAGCUGCGGCAGCGACGCUUAUGCGUUGUUGGGUAGGGGAGCGUUCUGUAAGCCUGUGAAGGUGUACUGUGAGGUAUGCUGGAGGUAUCAGAAGUGCGAAUGCUGACAUAAGUAACGAUAAAGCGGGUGAAAAGCCCGCUCGCCGGAAGACCAAGGGUUCCUGUCCAACGUUAAUCGGGGCAGGGUGAGUCGACCCCUAAGGCGAGGCCGAAAGGCGUAGUCGAUGGGAAACAGGUUAAUAUUCCUGUACUUGGUGUUACUGCGAAGGGGGGACGGAGAAGGCUAUGUUGGCCGGGCGACGGUUGUCCCGGUUUAAGCGUGUAGGCUGGUUUUCCAGGCAAAUCCGGAAAAUCAAGGCUGAGGCGUGAUGACGAGGCACUACGGUGCUGAAGCAACAAAUGCCCUGCUUCCAGGAAAAGCCUCUAAGCAUCAGGUAACAUCAAAUCGUACCCCAAACCGACACAGGUGGUCAGGUAGAGAAUACCAAGGCGCUUGAGAGAACUCGGGUGAAGGAACUAGGCAAAAUGGUGCCGUAACUUCGGGAGAAGGCACGCUGAUAUGUAGGUGAAGUCCCUCGCGGAUGGAGCUGAAAUCAGUCGAAGAUACCAGCUGGCUGCAACUGUUUAUUAAAAACACAGCACUGUGCAAACACGAAAGUGGACGUAUACGGUGUGACGCCUGCCCGGUGCCGGAAGGUUAAUUGAUGGGGUUAGCGCAAGCGAAGCUCUUGAUCGAAGCCCCGGUAAACGGCGGCCGUAACUAUAACGGUCCUAAGGUAGCGAAAUUCCUUGUCGGGUAAGUUCCGACCUGCACGAAUGGCGUAAUGAUGGCCAGGCUGUCUCCACCCGAGACUCAGUGAAAUUGAACUCGCUGUGAAGAUGCAGUGUACCCGCGGCAAGACGGAAAGACCCCGUGAACCUUUACUAUAGCUUGACACUGAACAUUGAGCCUUGAUGUGUAGGAUAGGUGGGAGGCUUUGAAGUGUGGACGCCAGUCUGCAUGGAGCCGACCUUGAAAUACCACCCUU
rnacentral:rRNA from 1 species